rnacentral:rRNA from 1 species
UACGGAGGAUGCAAGCGUUAUCCGGAUUCAUUGGGUUUAAAGGGUGCGUAGGCGGGCUAUUAAGUCAGCGGUGAAAUUUUGCAGCUUAACUGUAACAGUGCCGUUGAUACUGGGGAGCUAGGAUUUGGUUGCUGUGGGUGGAAUGUGUGGUGUAGCGGUGAAAUGCUUAGAGAUCACACAGAAUAUCGAUUGCGAAGGCAGCUCACAAAGCCAAGAUUGACGCUGAGGCACGAAAGUGUGGGGAUCAAACAGGA